rnacentral:snRNA from 1 species
ACUUCCUUCAACAAUACAUAUUCUAAAAUUGGAAUGAUACAUAGAAGUUUGCAUGGCCCUCUGCACAAGGAUGACAUGCAGGUUCCAUAUUUUU